UACGUAGGGUCCGAGCGUUGUCCGGAUUUACUGGGCGUAAAGCGCGCGCAGGCGGCUCGUCAAGUCUGGCGUGAAAGCCCCCGGCUCAACCGGGGAGGGUCGUCGGAGACUGGCGAGCUUGAGGGCGGUAGGGGCUGGUGGAAUUCCCGGUGUAGUGGUGAAAUGCGUAGAGAUCGGGAGGAACACCCGUGGCGAAGGCGGCCAGCUGGGCCGUCCCUGACGCUGAGGCGCGAAGGCGUGGGGAGCGAACGGG
rnacentral:rRNA from 1 species